CCUAGCUAGAUUUGCAAUGUCUACAUAGUAUGUUUUUUUUCGUCCGCGGCCUCCUUCUCGUACUGACAUAUUUGUUUCCUUGUAUGAGAUAGGCUCGUUGAUCUUGAUCGCACCAUUUCUGACUCGAUCAUUCAAAAACACACUUUUUUUUUCUCGGUUAUUUGUCAUAUUUUUUUAUAGUUUACCAACCUGACUCAAAAUCCUGCCUAUACCACUGCCCUCAGCCAUUGUUUUUGUUUGGCGAGAAGGCAGGAGGUCUGCCAUGCAAUAUCAGGGAAAACCAAGCAUAUGUACAAUAGACCGAAGUAAAAAAAAAGGCAAAAAAGGCCAAAGAAAAUGAGAAAGCGAUCCGUCUCAUCGGACCAAGCACAGUUGGCCGAAAGGUCAAAGGUACACCUCACCACUCGGUCACCGGAUAGAAAGCAAGUCUAUGCU
rnacentral:lncRNA from 1 species